UACGUAGGGUGCGAGCGUCGUCCGGAAUUAUUGGGCGUAAAGAGCUCGUAGGCGGUCUGUCGCGUCGAAUGUGAAAACCCGGGGCUCAACUCCGGGCUUGCAUUCGAUACGGGCAGGCUAGAGUUCGGUAGGGGAGUCUGGAAUUCCUGGUGUAGCGGUGAAAUGCGCAGAUAUCAGGAGGAACACCGGUGGCGAAGGCGGGUCGCUGGGCCGAUACUGACACUGAGGAGCGAAAGCGUGGGGGGCGAACAGG
rnacentral:rRNA from 1 species